rnacentral:rRNA from 1 species
UACGUAGGGUGCGAGCGUUGUCCGGAAUUAUUGGGCGUAAAGAGCGUGUAGGCGGCCAGAUAGGUCAGCUGUGAAAACUCGAGGCUCAACCUCGAGAUGUCGGCUGAAACCAUCUGGCUAGAGUCCGGAAGAGGAGAAUGGAAUUCCCGGUGUAGCGGUGAAAUGCGCAGAUAUCGGGAAGAACACCCGUGGCGAAGGCGGUUCUCUGGGACGGUACUGACGCUGAGACGCGAAAGCGUGGGGAGCGAACAGG